UACGUAGGGUGAAAGCGUUAAUCGGAAUUACUGGGCGUAAAGCGUGCGCAGGCGGUUUUAUGAGACAGAUGUGAAAUCCCCGGGCUCAACCUGGGAACUGCAUUUGUGACUGUAGAGCUGGAGUGCGGCAGAGGGGGAUGGAAUUCCGCGUGUAGCAGUGAAAUGCGUAGAUAUGCGGAGGAACACCGAUGGCGAAGGCAAUCCCCUGGGCCUGCACUGACGCUCAUGCACGAAAGCGUGGGGAGCAAACAGG
rnacentral:rRNA from 1 species